CCGCUCGCAGGGUUGCAGCUGUCCAGGCUGCGCAGCUCGCAGCGUCGCGACUAUCUAUUUUUGAACUUUCCUGGAAUGCGGAUCUCCAGCUUGCGGCUCACUUUCUCAAACUCGUCUGGUUGGCAGCUCGUACGCUGAUGGCUCUGCGGCUUGCCGACACUGAGCGAACUCUUCGGAGGCACUUUGCUAGCCGGCUCGUAGGCUCGUUGGGUGGAAGCUCUGGGGUGGAGGCUUGGAGGGAGGCUGCUCACUGGUUUGUACACAGCCUGGCCGAGGCCCGGUUGAAUGCAGCUCAGGGUCACAGCUCGGUGGUUGUCAGCUCGCAGACUUGCAGCUGAACACUGUCCUGAGUCACUGCUAACCAUGAAUCCUCCACCUGUGCGCUUCUAGCUGCAUUUAGCUGCCCUUCAAGCUCCAGGGACUAGGGCAAGAUUUCUGAGGGUGUACAACUGGUGGCUGGAGAGAGGUAAGUAUUAGCUGUGUGGUCUCCUCACUGUCAGAGGAGUUGUAUGCCACAUGGAUUCCCAGCUUGCUGCAUCUCGCUAUGUAUUAUGUAGAGAAAAAAAAGGUGAGUUUCAUGCUGAUUUGACACUCUUCAUGCUGUGGGUGUCUGAUUGAUAUUUUUAAGAUGUCAGCAGUCAAAGAAGCUCCCAAAAAUUGUCCUUUAAAGAAAACUAGAUCAGAUUCUGCCGUGUUAUUUUCUUUGUUUUCUUUCAGGAGAGAUGUUGAAUGACUCCAUAACUCCAGGACAGGAAAGUGUGAUGAGAGGGACAGAAGCGUGAACCCUGAGACGAUAAGAAACAGGAACGACAUUAUGGAGACACUAGUAUUCAUUACAUGGCAUAUAUAUGUAAAAAAAAAAAAAAAAAAAACCCCGUGAUUCAUGAGUGAAUCAAUUGAUCCUACAGACGAGAGAGAAAAGUCUCAGAAAAUGAGCCACAGCAUCAGGAUAUGAGAAAAAAUGAUGUAAACUGAUCCAGGACCAGCACAUGGCAUGUCUGACAACUGAAGCACACUGGCACAUGAGAUCCUUCAUGUUAAUAUGCAGUUCUGUGGCUCAAAUGCAAUUAUUUAUCUCUGAAUUGAUGUGUUUUCUAAGCUCUCUGCUCUCUUCAAGACACGCAAUAAUCAGAAGGAUCAGAUAAGGACAGGGAGCCAGAUGAAGGACAGCCCACAGGAUAGGAAUCCACAUUUAUGUAAGUAAGAUGUGGAAAGAAUACUUAUUGUAGUGACAUGGAAGAUGAGACCAAAAUAAGAUGUAAUUCUACUGUGUUAUUAUUUUGUGUGUCAUCUGCCCCACAACAACAGGCAUCCUCCAUCCAGUAGCUGUUCCUGCUUUAUCUCACAGAGCAUAGGUCUGCAAUUAGUGGCCCACGGGCCACAUGUGGCCCGCAAGCAAAAACAUCUGGCCCGUAAGAUUGUUUGAACUAGAGAAUGAAAAUAACAAAAUAAAUUAUACUUUUAAAAAAUCGGACUGACAGUCUCAAAAAGCUCUUUAUUUGGAAACUUCAUUUUUCAGAACAGAAACAUUUGAAUCCAUCUAAAUUCUUAUUUGUGAUACGAGGGUGAAUAAGCGCAUCAGCGAGGUGCAGCGUGGACGCUCAACAUGCAAAAACAAAUGACGUCAGCGGACAGCGCCUGGUGCUGAAAUUCUAGUCUCUAGAACACAAGUUGUCACUCAACUGCAUUAAUAAAACUGGCCAGGAUGAAUGCAUAGUUCUCUGUCCAUUCGUCAUGAAAGAUCCUGCCAUUUUUUCCACAGCUAAUAGCAACACGUGGAAAUGUGUGUGUGUGGGUUGGUUGUUUUUUAAUAAAUGUGCAGAUAACUAAUAGUGCCCCCAAUGGCCAGUCAGCAAAUUUUACCUACAUCAGCCUCAGUACGUCUGUUGUGUCAUUUCACGAGCGCCUAUCAUUUUCAUCCUCCCCUAUUAAUUCAAUAAAUUAACCAUUGUUUUGGUUGUGGCUCACCAUGUAAUGGCUUGGAAAAAAUCUGGCCCAUCAUAGAGGGACACAGGAGCUGGAGGACAUCAGUCCAUCACAGAGUGAGAGGAGCCCCAGGAUGAUCAAACAUGGAAGGAUCAGUCCAAGAUGAGAUGACGAAAAGCCCCAGACAGAAGAGUGAGACCCAGGAAAAGAAAGAACAGCAGCUCUGGUUAACUCCAAAGCUGGCGCAGGACCUCUGUUGCGCUUCCUUCACCCCUACCGGUCGAGGCAGAUGGCCGCCCUCCCUGAGCCUGGUUCUGUUGGAGGUUUUUCCCUCCCUGCUAUCAGAGAGUUUUUUUUCCUCCCCGCUGUCACCUCGUGCUUGCUCAAAGGGAAUCCAAAGAAAGCUGGAUUUGUUGGGUUUCUCUGUUGAUAAUUGUUUUGAUGAAACUGUCAAAAAGAGAGAACUUAAAAUAAGUCUGUUUCUUUUAAAGGUUUAUAUUAGGACACCUUCCUUUGAUCUUAUACGUUUAAGAAGCAUGUUUUAAUGGCUACAAACUCAAAACCUGAGAGCACAAUAAAACCACUGGUUACU